UUAUUUAAUUAAUACCUAUUUUUAAAUGAUAUAAACUACGAUUACUUACAAAACUAUUCAAAUUCAAAAUAAACAGGAUCAUCUUCGGAAUCCGAGUCGUCUUGCAGGUUAAUAAUUAGCGGUUGUGUCUCUACAGUCGCAUCAAUUAUAUUGUCAAGAUCCCACAUUUUUUGUUCUUCUUCUAUUGCAUGUCUGACUGCAUCUCGCCAAUUUUGUUCUGUAAUAUGUUGUAAAGACUCAUAUAACAAUUCACGUACAGCUUGUAUUUUAUGGUGGAAGUCUAAGGACUGUGAUGUUUCGUCUUUCCGCCAUUUUGUCAACUACGUAUUUCUUGAACUUAGAUUUGUGUUGCCGGGCAAUUUUUAAAAGUUCUGCUUUAACCAUUCCAUCUUCGUAAGGCAGGGACUUAUUCCGCAGCCAUUCAAUGAUAUCCUGUUUCUUCCACGCAGUCGUUGGAAGUCUUUCAACUAGUCGUGAAUGAUAAGGUGCAUUAUCUAAUACUAUAAUUGAGUUUGGUGGUAUAUGUUCAAUCAUCUGCUCAAAAUACUCUUCGAAAACAUCAGCUGUCAUCUCCUCGUGAUAGUCUUUUGUGCUUUUGGAUUCAAAUUCCAACAAACCAUGCUUAGCAAAUCCUUUUUCAUUGCCAAUGUGAGAAACUAUUAAUCUACUGCCUUUACCAGAGGGUGGGGAAAUACCAGUAGACCAACCUUCCAUAAAGGCUUGCCUGGAGCUUGAUAUAUUUUUAUCUGUCCAAAUUUUUGUGAGAGUAUGACCUGCGUUCACCCACGUUUCGUCCUGAUAGUAAAUUGGCCUUCCUUCAGCCCGAAAUUUUCGUAUAGAUCUUAGAUACUUUCUUCUCCAACAUAUUAUCUUUUCCCGGUCAAUCAAAAGUGAUUUUCGGUCUGAUUUCUCCCACCGGAAAUUUUAUUCUUUUAAAACUUGCCACAAUUUGGUUCGUCCGACAUGAGGCAAAUCCGGGUCGUCCCUAACUUCUUGUAAAAUUUUGUUUAAGUUGGGUAUUUCUUUUUUGUAAAAAAAUUCGUGAAUUUUCCUUCGAAUACCAUUUUUGGCAAAUUCAUCAAUUUCAAUAGGUUUUCUCCCCCUCUUUAAGUAUUCGUUUGUAUUUGGGUUAGCUAUACCUUUUUUUUUUCUUUCUGAUAGGAACCUAUAUAUUGUUGACUCCCCUACGCCCGUCAUGUUGGCACAACUCUUGAUUAUGUUCUGAACAGUGUUUGUGGGAUUCUGAGAAACCAGAGCAUCGUGAACGUUCAAAACAAUAGUCUUCUCUCUUGGUGAAUAGACAGACUUACUGACUGUACGCAACAGUACCGGUGUAAAACUUGAUGAUGUUGAUGAUGAUGACGAAGCCAUCGCAAGCAAUCAAACAAAACAAGCAGGAACGAAAGGUACGUAUAUG